CUUAACACCUCAGGGAGGCAGCACAGAGGGUUGGAGAUGCAGGACGAGGAAGGAUACGCCACUUUAAAUUUUCAGGCAUCUUGGAAUGCAGCUUCUGCCCAUGAACAACCAGGCAGACAAAAAGGGAUUUCUAAGAUGGCAGUUUCCAAACAACACUUACUGGAUUGGAUUUUCAUUUAAGAGAGACAGGAAUGGCUGGAUUUGGGAGGACAACACACCUCUUACUCCAGCACAGAAGAAUAUGUUCGCUCUUUACAAGGAGUAUCCCUGUGCAUGCAUUUCUUCAUUACUUGCUCAUAGCACUGACUGUAACAAGAAAAAUAACUGGAUCUGUGAGAAG